CCUGAUGAAGGUAAAGAGUUACGCUACUGAAAUAUUAUGCAAGUACGACACUGAUAUCCGGCAGAACACCCGACAACCCAAGAUGUCAAAUUGAUCUAAUUCAUUCUGUUAAGGGUAAUGAUACAAUUUUGGAAAUGUGUACAUCUUGGUAUAAUAACUGGAUCACAGCCAAAAUGCAUGUAGAGUCUACAUUUGCUAAUUAUGAACAAGAGAUUUACUGUUUUUUAAAGCUUUUGUCACACAAAACUUUAAUUAGGCGUAAACGUCCCUGGUUUGAUUUUGGAGGGCGUAUCCUUCACACUGUAUUUGGUACUUUAACUAGUCGAGAUCUACUGAAAGUUAAAGGCAAGAUAUUAGCUUUUGAACAACAGUCCAGUACAGAUUCAACUAACCUCUCUAAUAAAAUUAUCAUAUUAAAGAAUAUGCAAAGAACCAUUACUAACCACACAGUUUUCAUUGAACAGAUUUAAAGCAAUUUAUAUCACAUUUCCAUGUAAUUCGUGAUGAAACAAAUGCUAAUAUCCAAGAACUAUUCCAAAGAUUAAAUGCUGUGAGUGCACACUUAGAUUUAAACACUAUUUUUGCUAAGGAUUACUGAUAGUUUAUCAAAUGCUAGAAUUGAUGCCCUUAACUUAAGGACAGCUUUAGAAAGUAGUUCAAAUGAUUGUUUGAGCAGUGUACUACUACAUCCAAAACAAUUUUUACAGAUCCUACUAUCAAUUGAGCGAAAGCUAGAUCCAACCUAUACUAUGAUUUACCCUGUUAACUCUUACAAUUUAUAUGAUUACUAUAAGUUAACACCACACACUCUUUAAUGAUUUAAGAUGAAUUAACUGUUAUUGUUUCUAUACCCGUUGCUAGAUCAAAGCAUAAUUCCGAAAUGUAUGAGAUUUAUACUUACCCUGUGAAAUGGAGAUGGACAGGUAUUCAUGUAAAGUACAUACUGAAUGAUUAUCUACUGAUCAGCAAGGAUAUGAAAAUGAUUUGCAGAUGUGCAAAUGUAGUCAUAAGUUAAUUUGCCAGUUAACUGGUGUACUCUUUUGUGGUAUGCUGUGUGAACCUUAGGUUCUAUAUAUAAUUACGCAGUACAGAAUUAAAGAUCUCAGCAAGAUCUAGAUUUAAAAAAUGUCAAAAAGCAGCUUAAAUCUCUAAAACACAACAAAGAUCCAGGGCCCGACGGAACUCCUGUCAUGGAAUUUGCGACCGAAUUAGCCCCUUUCUUGACCAUAAUUUAAUAUGUGUCUUUCGAAGAAGGAGUUAUCCCCAGUGAGUGGAAAAGGGCACAAGUCAUACCGAUAUACAAAAACAUUUCGGCCAGUAAUAUGGAGCAAAUAUGCUGGGCCCCUAUCAGGUUGGACUAAUGGGAGACAUAUAGCAAACACAAAGAAGGCCAGCAUGAAUGGUAGCAGGCUUGUUCGACUGGUGAGACAGCGUUAGUGACAUGUUGAGAAGUCAGAAUUGGCAAACACCUGAAGAAAGACACAUAUCACGCCAGAACCAUCUUGAAAAAUUCCAGACGCAAAAUCUUGGCAGAAGCGAUGAAUAUUCUCCUUCCCCCUAUGCAUCUGUCUUGCGAAGACAAAAUUAUAUAAGGAAGAGACUAAGAGCUCGCAGAAAGGCGUUUCAACAGUCAUUCUUUCCAUCUGGGAAUGGAAUAGGAAGAAACCUUAAUAUAUGGUACCCUAGAGUACCCUCUGCCACACACCACAUGGUGACACACAGAGUAUGGAUGUAGAUGUAGAUAGUAUUAAGCCUUUGAUGCGCAUUUAGUCCAAAAGUCUAUUAGCAGAGUGAGCAGCCAAGCAUUCAUUUAUGCCAACAGCUGCUUGUGCAUACUAACUGCGGUAUGGCAUGUAAGUUUGUGAGGCAGGAGGGUUAAACACAUAUCAUUUAUGACUUUGGUGCAAUGUAUUCUUUUCAGUUUCCACAUCAGAUGAGCAUAAUGAGAUUGAGGACUCAGCACCGCCAAUGCCUGCCACUUUGAAUGAUCCAGUGAUCAGAUGAGCUGCACUUCAACUUCAUUACCUGCAGAUAAUUCUUCCGUUUCAGAGUUGACACUACAUUGGGUUACUUGCAUGCCAGUGAUGAGGAUGAAAUGAUGAUGAGGACAACCUGACACCCAGUCCCUGAGCAGAGAAAAUCUCCAUCCUGACUGGUAACCAAACCCGAGCCCACUUGCGUGGGGGGCGAGCGCAUUACCAUUCAGCUAAGCAGAUGGACUUUAGUCUUGAAUAUUAUACAGGGUGGCAGCAGUGACAAGGAAGUAACUGCAACUUGGCGGACGUGCGUUUGAGCUUUGAAGUGCGGAAGCAGAUAAUUAAGUGGUACUUGGUCGGAUGAAGCACAAUUCAAAUUCAAUGGAACUGUCAAUAGGCACAAUUGUGUGUACUGGGCUGAAGAUAAUCCUCACAUUACAGUUGAAAAGGCUGUGGAUUUGCCUGGUGUAAAUGUGUGGUGUGGUUUGUCUUUGAGUCUUCCCACUUUGAAGGUACUGUUACUGGAGAAACGUACCUAGCAAUGCUUGCUGACUCCAUAUUCCCUGCCAUUCGUGCAUUAUACGGUAAUGAUGAGUUUUAUUUCCAACAAGAUGGCGCCCUGCCACACUAUCAUAGGGACGUACGAGCAUACCUGGAUCACAAUGUGCCAGGCGAACAGGGGGACCAAUCGAGUUUCCUGCACGCUCUCCAGACUUCACGCCACUGGAUUUCUUCUUAUGGGGCACAGUAAAAGAUGAGGUGUACAAACGUAAACCACGUAACCUGUACACACUUUGGAAUGAGAUUCAGGCGAUGUGCACACAAAUCUCAUUGGACACUUUGGUACAAUGUACGGAAUCAGUGGUGACUCGUACUCAGAAAUGUAUUGAUGCUGAAGGCUACCAGUUUGAACAUUAAUCACAUUUGCAAAGUACAUUUAUUUUUCCA